ensembl:snRNA U2 U2 spliceosomal RNA
AUCGCUUCUCGGCCUUUUGGCUAAGAUCAAGUGUAGUGUCUGUAAACCCUUGUUAGCAACUUUUAUACUUUCUUAGUAUGUUUCUUAUAUGUUCUUAGAAGAGCUAUUAUAGGCUUGGUGCCCAUAGCUCAGUGCUUAGGGCGCCAGCCACAUGCACCAGGGUUGGUGGGUUUGAACCUGGC